rnacentral:tRNA from 1 species
UAGGCCUUUAAGUUAAUUAAACUCUUAUCCUUCAAAGAUAAAUUUCCUACUCUUAUAAGGU